CAAACUUCUCCAGACGUGGCGCCGCCUUUAAGAACUGUAACACUAACCGCGAAAGUCUGUAGCUUCGCUCCUGAAGCCAGGGAGACCACGAACCCACCAGAACAAAAAAACUCCGGACACAUCAUCUUUAAGAACUCACCGGGAGAGUCUGCGGCUUCAUUCCUGAAGUCAGCGAGACCAAGAACCCACCAAUUCUGGACACAAUUGGAUACUAUAAUCGAUAAAGGUCAGACUUUGUACCUAUUCCUCUAGAAACUGCUGGGAUUCGAA
rnacentral:lncRNA from 1 species